GACAAAGAUAUCCAAGAACAGUGAAGACUAACAGGUACAAAUAACAAAGUUAGACAGCAAGAAAACUGCAUCUGUGAGAGAAUUUAAAAAACUGUGCCACUAAAGUUUAUGUAGUUCAUUACAUUUUCCUUCUGCACAUGCACACAACAACAAAAACAAAUACAACUACGAAUGACAGGGCUGGCAUUUACCAAUUUCUACCUCUACAACAUAUGAUGUGGGUUUGUCAGGAUUAAGAGGAAAAAAUCUAACUGGAGAAAAGUUCUAUUUGCCAUCACUGACAUUCCAUUCAUCAGAUUAUUAACAAUUUCUGCAUCAACAAUUUCCAGAUGUCACUUACUCUCGUGUAACGUAAUCCAUGUCAUUAAUUUAUAUCUUUCAGAUAUUUUGUGAUGACAUAAUGUUUUUUUAUACCUUAGUAAUUACUCUCUACUUCUUUUUGUAUCUCCAGUGUUCUUGUUUACCAGACUUUGUUAUCUAGAUUUUUCACUGUCACAGAUUAAACCAGAUGAAGAGAGAGAUUUAGGAUUUCUUUUUCUGGAUUUUAAGAGAAUUAUUUUCUCUACCUUAGUGACAUCCUUGGCUAGAUAGAUGCUAAGCUUUUACUGUCAAUCAGCAGCAAGGAUGAAAUGCUAUUUUUCAGCAGUAACGCCUUUCUAAUUAUUAAUUCUACUGUUUUAGAAAAAAUCUCUUCUGCUUUAGAAAAAAUCUCUUUGCAUCAGCAUCCUCUGCACUAUGCAGAAUCUGGAUAUAAUCCUCAACUCAAAUCUUCUCAUUCAAUUCACAUAUUUUUGAAAUUCCUAUGUUUAUAAAAUCCCCACAUUUAUUAAAUUUGUACAUUGCUGGUAAGAUACACAUCAAUUGCCUUUCAAGAUAUUUUGAGACUCUUUGCUUACUUAACAGACGACCCAACAAACUCAAACACUUGGUUCUUUUCCAGAUCAGUUACUAUGAUAAUAUUAACGUGUCUGUUACGUACGAACCAAAUUCAGUUAGGACCUACAAGAUUUAAUUGCUAUUUUGUUAAUCAUCAUCAACUCACUGAAACAAAUUGCACCAGUUUCAGUGGGCUCUGAAAUAAGCCCCCAUAUAAUAAACAGUUACUAAUGUAGCACUGAAGUCAGAUUCAGGCAGAAUUUAGACUGAAGUUUCCUUUAUUUGGUUUACACUUCUAUUCUGAACUGUAAAAUUCCACCUGUACAAACUCAGCCAAAUUGGAAGCACAGUUCAUAGACAUGCAGAUGCCAUGUCCCUGAAGGUGUUCAAGGCCAGGAUGGACGUGGCCCCAGGCAACCUGAUCUAGUACUUCAUCUAGUGCUUGGUAAAUGAAGUAGAAAAGAUGCUGAACUAGUAAAAGAAGAUAGAUUUCUGGCAAUGCAGACAAGCUCUCCUGUC
rnacentral:lncRNA from 7 species